rnacentral:lncRNA from 8 species
GAUAUGGAAGGUCACGUAAUGUAACGCAAUGUAGUGGUGAAGUGUAACGCUGUGUUGUCUUUCAGGAACCUUCUUCGCUGGGCCCCCAGGACCUGCUGGCCCAACUGGUCUUCCGGGAUCACCAGGUACAGAGGAGUCCAAUUCACUGUCUAUACCAUUUGUGUUUUUAUCAUAGUCAAUUAGGUCGAAACAGAAGUUAUGUGCACUCAUCUUGUAAAUCAUUUUAUUGUUUCCUAAUGCAAACCAGGACCCCAGGGUUACCAAGGUAAGCAAUUUUAAAGGCAUGUCCAUGCCAAAGGGCUGGAUUGAUGUCAUAGUAGGCUAUGAACUGGUUCAGUCACAUAUUAUUUACAUGGCAGACUUAGUGAUAGACUUAAAAUGUCAACCUUAACGCAAUUUGAUCUAUGUUUCAGGUGACCCAGGUCAGCCCGGUUUACCAGGAGUUCCCGGAGAUCCCGGUGUCGGUUUCCCUGGACCCCAGGGACGACCUGGAGGUCCAGGACCAGAAGGGGACAGUGGACUUCCAGGGCCCCAAGGUCCAGAGGGCCCCGAGGGGCAACAGGGUCCAAAAGGUGAGGCUGGAGUUCCAGGUGCUCCAGGAAUCCCUGGCUACUCCAGUGGUGGAUCAUCCAGGAGUUCCCCUGGAGCACCAGGUCCACCUGGACCUCCCGGGGCCCCCGGCCAUGAUGGGCCACCUGGGUCUGGGUCUGGAACACCGGACAUUCUUCAAUACAUCACAGAAUACCUCAAGAGUGAGUGAGAUGAUCUGA